GACGAACGCUGGCGGCGUGCUUAACACAUGCAAGUCGAACGGUAAGGCCCUUCGGGGUACGACGAGUGGCGAACGGGUGAGUAACACGUGGGUGAUCUGCCCUGCACUUCGGGAUAAGCUUGGGAAACUGGGUCUAAUACCGGAUAGGACCACGGUCUGCAUGGAUUGUGGUGGAAAGCUUUUGCGGUGUGGGAUGGGCCCGCGGCCUAUCAGCUUGUUGGUGGGGUGAUGGCCUACCAAGGCGACGACGGGUAGCCGGCCUGAGAGGGUGUCCGGCCACACUGGGACUGAGAUACGGCCCAGACUCCUACGGGAGGCAGCAGUGGGGAAUAUUGGACAAUGGGGGCGAACCCUGAUCCAGCCAUGCCGCGUGAGUGAAGAAGGCCCUCGGGUUGUAAAGCUCUUUUGUCCGGAAAGAAAAGCAAUCGGUUAAUACCCGGUUGUUCUGACGGUACCGGAAGAAUAAGCACCGGCUAACUUCGUG
rnacentral:rRNA from 1 species